rnacentral:tRNA from 1 species
GCCUGGGUGGCUCAGUUGGUUGAGCGUCUGACUUUAGCUCGGGUCAUGAUCUCACAGUCUGUGAGUUCGAGCCCCAUGUCGGGCU